rnacentral:rRNA from 1 species
UACGGAGGGUGCGAGCGUUAAUCGGAAUUACUGGGCGUAAAGCGCACGCAGGCGGUUUGUUAAGCUAGAUGUGAAAGCCCCGGGCUCAACCUGGGAUGGUCAUUUAGAACUGGCAGACUAGAGUCUUGGAGAGGGGAGUGGAAUUCCAGGUGUAGCGGUGAAAUGCGUAGAUAUCUGGAGGAACAUCAGUGGCGAAGGCGNCUCCCUGGCCAAAGACUGACGCUCAUGUGCGAAAGUGUGGGUAGCGAACAGG